rnacentral:misc_RNA from 1 species
UCCGGUUUGUCACCGGCAGUCCCAUUAGAGUGCUCAACUGAAUGUGGCAACUAAUGGCAAGGGUUGCGCUCGUUGCGGGACUUAACCCAACAUCUCACGACACGAGCUGACGACAGCCAUGCAGCACCUGUGCUGGGGCUCCGAAGAGGGGCCGGUGUUUCCACCAGCUUUCCCCAGCAUGUCAAGCCUAGGUAAGGUUCUGCGCGUUGCGUCGAAUUAAACCACAUGCUCCACCGCUUGUGCGGGCCCCCGUCAAUUCCUUUGAGUUUCAGCCUUGCGGCCGUACUCCCCAGGCGGGGCACUUCAUGCGUUAGCGCCGGUACCCAGAGGGUCGCUCCCCUAAGCACCUAGUGCCCAUCGUUUACGGCGUGGACUAC